AUUGAACGCUGGCGGCAUGCCUUACACAUGCAAGUCGAACGGCAGCACGGGUGCUUGCACCUGGUGGCGAGUGGCGAACGGGUGAGUAAUACAUCGGAACGUGCCCAGUCGUGGGGGAUAACGUAGCGAAAGCUACGCUAAUACCGCAUACGAUCUAAGGAUGAAAGCGGGGGACCGUAAGGCCUCGCGCGAUUGGAGCGGCCGAUGGCAGAUUAGGUAGUUGGUGGGGUAAAGGCUCACCAAGACGACGAUCUGUAGCUGGUCUGUGAGGACGACCAGCAACACUGGGACUGAGACACGGCCCAGACUCCUACGGGAGGCAGCAGUGGGGAAUUUUGGACAAUGGGCGCAAGCCUGAUCCAGCCAUUCCGCGUGCAGGAUGAAGGCCCUCGGGUUGUAAACUGCUUUUGUACGGAACGAAAAGGCUCUGGUUAAUACCUGGGGCUCAUGACGGUACCGUAAGAAUAAGCACCGGCUAACUACGUGCCAGCCGCCGCAGUAA
rnacentral:rRNA from 1 species